rnacentral:tRNA from 1 species
CGGGGAAUAGCGCAGCCUGGCAGCGCGCAUGCUUUGGGUGCAUGAAGUCGGGGGUUCGAAUCCCCCUUCCCCGACCA